CCCUUAGAUGUUCUGGGCCGCACGCGCGCUACACUGAUGCAUUCAACGAGCCUAUCCUAGACCGACAGGUCCGGGUAAUCUUUGAAUCUGCAUCGUGACGGGGAUAGAUUAUUGCAAUUAUUAAUCUUCAACGAGGAAUGCCUAGUAGGCGCAAGUCAUCAGCUUGCGUCGAUUACGUCCCUGCCCUUUGUACACACCGCCCGUCGCUCCUACCGAUUGGGUGUGCUGGUGAAAUGUUCGGAUCGGCCGUUUGUCGCGGUUUCCGCGUCAUGUGGCUGAGAAGUUCAUUAAACCCUCCCACCUAGAGGAAGGAGAAGUCGUAACA
rnacentral:rRNA from 1 species